rnacentral:rRNA from 1 species
AGCUCCAAUAGCGUAUAUUAAAGUUGUUGCAGUUAAAAAGCUCGUAGUUGGAUCUCAGGUCCAGGCUCGAGGUCCACCUCGCGGUGGUUACUUCCCGUCCUGACCUACCAUCCGGUUCUCCCUUGGUGCUCUUAGUUGAGUGUCUCGGGUGGCCAGAACGUUUACUUUGAAAAAAUUAGAGUGUUCAAAGCAGGCGCGUCGCCUGAAUAAUGGUGCAUGGAAUAAUGGAACAGGACCUCGGUUCUAUUUUGUUGGUUUUCGGAAGUCGAGGUAAUGAUUAAGAGGGACAGGCGGAGGCAUUCGUAUUACGGUGUUAGAGGUGAAAUUCUUGGAUCGCCGUAAGACGAACUACUGCGAAAGCAUUUGCCGAGGAUGUUUUCA